rnacentral:rRNA from 1 species
UACGUAGGGUGCAAGCGUUAAUCGGAAUUACUGGGCGUAAAGCGUGCGCAGGCGGUUUUGUAAGACAGAUGUGAAAUGCCCGGGCUUAACCUGGGAACUGCAUUUGUGACUGCAAGGCUAGAGUUUGGCAGAGGGGGGUAGAAUUCCGACGUGUAGCAGUGAAAUGCGUAGAUAUGUGGAGGAAUACCGAUGGCGAAGGCAGCCCCCUGGGUCAAGACUGACGCUCAUGCACGAAAGCGUGGGGAGCAAACAGG